rnacentral:rRNA from 1 species
CCUACGGGUGGCAGCAGUGAGGAAUAUUGGUCAAUGGGCGGGAGCCUGAACCAGCCAAGUCGCGUGAGGGACGACGGUCCUAUGGAUUGUACACCUCUUUUGUCGGGGAACAAAGGCGCCCACGGGUGGGCGGAUGAGUGUACCCGACGUAAAAGCAUCGGCUAACUCCGUGCCAGCAGCCGCGGUACGACGGAGGAUGCGAGCGUUACCCGGAUUUAUUGGGGUUAAAGGGUGCGUAGGCGGACAGUCAAGUCAGCGGUAAAAAUGCGGUGCUCAACGCCGUACAGCCGUUGAAACUGGCAGUCUUGAGUGGGCGAGAAGUAUGCGGAAUGCGUGGUGUAGCGGUGAAAUGCAUAGAUAUCACGAAGAACUGCGAUUGCGAAGGCAGCAUACCGGCGCCCUACUGACGCUGAGGAACGAAAGCGUGGGUAUCGAACAGGAUUAGAUACCCUUGUAGUC